UAGGGAAUCUUCCACAAUGGGCGCAAGCCUGAUGGAGCAACACCGCGUGAGUGAAGAAGGGUUUCGACUCGUAAAGCUCUGUUGUUGGAGAAGAACGUGCGUGAGAGUAACUGUUCACGCAGUGACGGUAUCCAACCAGAAAGUCACGGCUAACUACGUGCC
rnacentral:rRNA from 1 species